rnacentral:sRNA from 1 species
CUAUGUUGGCAGUGAGGGGUGAGGAUGAUGACCAGCUGUAUGUUUGUCUUCAGAUGCAGAGGUUGUGGUAGGAACCACGAGGCCAGAGACGCUGCCUGGAGAUGUGGCUGUGGCCGUUCAUCCAGACGACUCGCGAUACACAGUAAUACCCAGUGCGCUUCUGCACUCUGGCCCGCCCCGCCUAUGGCCUUCUCUUCUCUUGGGUUUUAAAUGGUGGCUCUUUCUCUCUUGCUUCUACUUCCUUUUCCUGAGACUUCUCUCAGUGGUUCUGAUUCGACUCCCUCCUGUUCUUACACUUUUUCUGUAGCUCAGGGGUUGACAAACUGGCCCAUGGUCCUAAUCCAGCUUGCGGCCUUUUUUUUUGAGAUGGAGUCUUGCUCUGUCACCAAGGCUGGAGGGCAGUGGCACGAUCUUGGCUCACUGCAACCUCCACCUUCCGGGUUCAAGCAAUUCUCCUGCCUCAGCCUCCUGAGUAGCUGGGAGUGUGGCACCAUGCCCGGCACGUGCCACCACGCCCGGCUAAUUUUUUGUAUUUUUACAAAAAUUAGUAAUUAAUUUUUUUUAAGUAAUGUAAUUUUUAAGUAAUGUUAUUUAGUAGAGACGGGGUAUCACUCUGUUAGCCAGGAUAGUCUCGAUCUCCUGACCUCGUGAUCUGCCCACCUCGGCCUCCCAAAGUGCUGGGAUUACAGGCGUGAGCCACUGCGCCCAGCCGCUUGCAGCCUUUAUAUUAUCUAUGGCUGCUAUUAUAUACCCUCUCCAGCUCUGCUGCAGUGGCAGAAUAGAGUAAUUGUGCAGAGAUUGAAUUUGUCUCUAGGCCCAAAAGCCUAAAAUAUCUACAUUCUGGCCCCUUAAGAGUUUGCUGACCUUGCUCUAGCUCACUACCUUCCACUUUCUACCUUCUUAUUCCUGGGGUUCUCACGCCCCAGCCCAGACCCUUCCAACCCUCACAGGUGCCUGUCCCUGAUCCCUCUCCCUUCCCUUCAGCAUCUACAUGGGCGACAGCUUCGUCACCCCUUGAUGGGGCAGCCUCUUCCCCUCAUCACAGACUAUGCUGUUCAGCCACAUGUGGGCACAGGGGCAGUGAAGGUGACUCCGGCUCACAGUCCUGCCGAUGCUGAGAUGGGGGCCCGACAUGACUUGAGCCCCCUGAAUGUCAUUGCGGAGGAUGGGACCAUGACCUCCCUCUGUGGGGACUGGCUGCAGGGACUUCACCGGUUUGUGGCCCGGGAAAAGAUAAUGUCUGUGCUGAGUGAACGGGGCCUGUUCCGGGGCCUCCAGAACCACCCCAUGGUACUGCCCAUCUGCAGCCGUUCUGGGGACGUGAUAGAAUACCUGCUGAAGAGCCAGUGGUUUGUCCGCUGCCAGGAAAUGGGGGCCCGAGCUGCCAAGGCUGUGGAGUCGGGGGCCCUGGAGCUCAGUCCCUCCUUCCACCAGAAGAACUGGCAGCACUGGUUUUCCCAUAUUGGGGACUGGUGUGUCUCCCGGCAGCUGUGGUGGGGCCAUCAGAUUCCAGCCUACCUGGUUGUAGAGGACCACGCGCAGGGAGAAGAGGACUGUUGGGUGGUUGGGCGGUCAGAGGCUGAGGCCAGAGAGGUAGCAGCAGAACUGACAGGGAGGCCAGGGGCAGAGCUGACCCUGGAGAGGGAUCCUGAUGUCCUAGACACAUGGUUUUCUUCUGCUCUGUUCCCCUUUUCUGCACUGGGCUGGCCCCAAGAGACCACAGACCUUGCUCGUUUCUACCCCCUGUCACUUUUGGAAACGGGCAGCGACCUUCUGCUGUUCUGGGUGGGCCGCAUGGUCAUGUUGGGGACCCAGCUCACAGGGCAGCUGCCCUUCAGCAAGUAUGGAGGCCAGAGAUCCCAAGGCACCUCCAAGGAAACCCCCCUCUGCUGACCCCUCCCUUCCUCCAGGUGCUUCUUCAUCCCAUGGUUCGGGACAGGCAGGGCCGGAAGAUGAGCAAGUCCCUGGGGAAUGUGCUGGACCCAAGAGACAUCAUCAGUGGGGUGGAGAUGCAGGUACUGCAGGAAAAGCUGAGAAGUGGAAAUUUGGACCCCGCAGAGCUGGCCAUUGUGGCUGCAGCACAGAAAAAGGACUUUCCUCAUGGGAUCCCUGAGUGUGGGACAGAUGCCCUGAGAUUCACACUCUGCUCCCAUGGAGUUCAGGUGGGCGACUUGCGCCUGUCCGUCUCUGAGGUCCAGAGCUGCCGACAUUUCUGCAACAAGAUCUGGAAUGCUCUGCGCUUUAUCCUCAAUGCUUUAGGGGAGAAAUUUGUGCCACAGCCUGCUGAGGAGCUGUCUCCCUCCUCCCCGAUGGAUGCCUGGAUCCUGAGCCGCCUUGCCCUGGCUGCCCGGGAGUGUGAGCGGGGCUUCCUCACCCGAGAACUCUCGCUCGUCACUCAUGCCCUGCACCACUUCUGGCUUCACAACCUCUGUGACGUCUACCUGGAGGCUGUGAAGCCCGUGCUGUGGCACUCGCCCCGCCCCCUGGGGCCCCCUCAGGUCCUGUUCUCCUGCGCUGACUUCGGCCUCCGCCUCCUGGCCCCACUGAUGCCCUUCCUGGCUGAAGAGCUCUGGCAGAGGCUGCCCCCCAGACCUGGUUGCCCCCCUGCCCCCAGCAUCUCGGUUGCCCCCUACCCCAGAGCCUGCAGCUUGGAGCACUGGCGCCAGCCAGAGCUGGAGCGGCGCUUCUCCCGGGUCCAAGAGGUCGUGCAGGUGCUAAGGGCUCUCCGAGCCACGUACCAGCUCACCAAAGCCCGGCCCCGAGUGCUGCUGCAGAGCUCAGAGCCUGGGGACCAGGGCCUCUUCGAGGCCUUCUUGGAGCCCCUGGGCACCCUGGGCUACUGUGGGGCUGUGGGCCUGUUACCCCCAGGCACAGCAGCUCCCUCUGGCUGGGCCCAGGCUCCACUCAGUGACACGGCUCAGGUCUACAUGGAGCUGCAGGGCCUAGUGGACCCGCAGAUCCAGCUACCUCUGUUAGCCGCCCGAAGGUAUAAGUUGCAGAAGCAGCUUGAUGGCCUCACAGCCAGGACCCCAUCAGAAGGGGAGGCAGGGACUCAGAGGCAACAAAGGCUUUCUUCCCUCCAGCUGGAAUUGUCAAAACUGGACAACGCAGCCUCUCACCUCCGGCAGCUGAUGGAUGAGCCUCCAGCCUCAGGGAGCCCGGAGCUCUAACUCAUCAUCCCCAUCAGUUUUCCUCCCUCUCAGACCUGUCUUUGAGGACAAACAGAUUUGUCAGCUGUCAGGGUGCAGUGGGACAUCAGAGACUAUGUGGUCCAUCGCCUUCAUUGUGUAAAUGAGGACACAGACUGGCUUGGUCGCAGUGACUGUGGUGUCCUUGAGAUGCUCAUAUUACUGCCUGGCCUGCCUCCCACCUGGAAGUCUGGGAAUGAGGAGAUUCAGAUAAACUUUUGAAAUCCCAAA